GUCCUACGGGACGCAGCAGUGGGGAAUAUUGCACAAUGGGGGAAACCCUGAUGCAGCGACGCCGCGUGAGUGAAGAAGUAUUUCGGUAUGUAAAGCUCUAUCAGCAGGGAAGAAAAUGACGGUACCUGAUUAAGAAGCCCCGGCUAACUACGUGCCAGCAGCCGCGGUAAUACGUAGGGGGCAAGCGUUAUCCGGAUUUACUGGGUGUAAAGGGAGCGUAGGCGGGAAGCCAAGUCAGCUGUGAAAACUACGGGCUUAACUUGUAGACUGCAGUUGAAACUGGGUUUCUUGAGUGAAGUAUAGGU
rnacentral:rRNA from 1 species